UACGAAGGGGGCUAGCGUUGCUCGGAAUCACUGGGCGUAAAGGGCGCGUAGGCGGAUCUUUAAGUCAGGGGUGAAAGCCUGAGGCUCAACCUCAGAAUUGCCUUUGAUACUGAAGAUCUUGACACCGGAAGAGGUAAGUGGAACUGCGAGUGUAGAGGUGAAAUUCGUAGAUAUUCGCAAGAACACCAGUGGCGAAGGCGGCUUACUGGUCCGGUUCUGACGCUGAGGCGCGAAAGCGUGGGGAGCAAACAGG
rnacentral:rRNA from 1 species